rnacentral:rRNA from 1 species
UACGAAGGGGGCUAGCGUUGCUCGGAAUCACUGGGCGUAAAGCGCACGUAGGCGGCUUGUUAAGUUGGGGGUGAAAUCCUGGAGCUCAACUCCAGAACUGCCCUCGAUACUGAUGAGCUCGAGUCCGGGAGAGGUGAGUGGAACUGCGAGUGUAGAGGUGAAAUUCGUAGAUAUUCGCAAGAACACCAGUGGCGAAGGCGGCUCACUGGCCCGGUACUGACGCUGAGGUGCGAAAGCGUGGGAAGCAAACAGG